rnacentral:rRNA from 1 species
ACGAACGCUGGCGGCGUGCCUUAUACAUGCCAGUUGAGCGCUGAAGGUUGGUACUUGUACCAACUGGAUGAGCAGCGAACGGGUGAGUAACGCGUGGGGAAUCUGCCUUUGAGCGGGGGACAACAUUUGGAAACGAAUGCUAAUACCGCAUAAAAACUUUAAACACAAGUUUUAAGUUUGAAAGAUGCCAUUGCAUCACUCAAAGAUGAUCCCGCGUUGUAUUAGCUAGUUGGUGAGGUAAAGGCCCACCAAGGCGAUGAUACAUAGCCGACCUGAGAGGGAGGACGGCCAAAUUGGGAAUGAGACACGGCCCCAACUCCUACGGGAGGCAGCCGUAGGGAAACUUCGGCAAUGGACGAAAGUCUGACCGAGGAACGCCGCGGGAGUGAAGAAGGUUUUCGGAUCGCAAAACUCUGUUGGUAGAGAAGAACGUUGGUGGGAGUGGAAAGCUCAUCAAGUGACGGUAACUACACAGAAAGGGACGGCUAACUACGUG